rnacentral:lncRNA from 1 species
CCUGAACUAAUGCUCUUUUGACGUUAAUAUAGUAUUAAUUUUAAAAUUCUUGAUUUAUUAAAAAUUUCUCCUAAGUACAUCCUUAAUUGAAAAGCAGUCAAUUUUCCUGCCAAAGGUCAGUGGUUCUCAACCGGCACUAUGGCUUCAUUCACAAAUAAAAAAUGACCACCAGGAAAUUGCAAGUAGUGCUGAAAGUGGUGUUUAACACAAAUCAAUGAGUGGAUCAGCAAUCCUGAUGUCUUUAUCUACUAACAUAGGAAGAAAGAGAUAUUUUGUGCAACGUCAAUUUCAUGUCACCUCAUUG